UAUAGGAAUAAGACACGCCUGUAACCCUAGGUUAAACAGGCCGGGCUUUUCUUUUGUCUCCAAUUAAUUAAUCUAAUAGUCAAACUAUUUACUAAUUAAUUAAAGCUUAUUAGAAUAUAUCAAAUAUAUCCUAAUCUAGUCCAUAUAUCUUUCAAUCUCCCACUUGGACUAGCAUUAGAUUAAACACCAAGCACUAUCUUU
rnacentral:lncRNA from 1 species